rnacentral:SRP_RNA from 1 species
GCUGUCUCCAAGAGCGGCGGAGCCAGCCAAACCGGGUCAGGUCCGAAAGGAAGCAGCCCUGCGGCCAAUGGUCUUCGGGUGCUUGCGGAGGCAGCGUU